rnacentral:rRNA from 1 species
AUUGAACGCUGGCGGCAGGCCUAACACAUGCAAGUCGAGCGAGCGGCGGACGGGUGAGUAAUGUAUGGGGACUGCCCGCUAUAGGGGGAUAACUACUGGAAACGGUGGCUAAUACCGCAUACUAUCGGAUACCCCAUAUGGGAUUAGCUAGUGGGGGGGGUAAAGGCUCACCUAGGCGACGAUCUCUAGCUGGUCUGAGAGGAUGAUCAGCCACACUGGGACUGAGACACGGCCCGGACGCCUACGGAGGCAGCAGGGGGGAAUAUUGCACAAUGGGGGAAAGCCGGAUGCAGCCAUGCCGGGUGUAGGAAGAAGGCCUUAGGUUUUUAAGGUACGUUCAGCGGGGAGGCGGUACCCGAAGAAGAAGCACCGGCUAACUCCGUGCCAGCCGCCGCGGUAAUAC